rnacentral:rRNA from 1 species
CAGUAGCCCGCGGUAAUACAGAGGGUGCGAGCGUUAAUCGGAUUUACUGGGCGUAAAGCGUGCGUAGGCGGCUUUUUAAGUCGGAUGUGAAAUCCCUGAGCUUAACUUAGGAAUUGCAUUCGAUACUGGGAAGCUAGAGUAUGGGAGAGGAUGGUAGAAUUCCAGGUGUAGCGGUGAAAUGCGUAGAGAUCUGGAGGAAUACCGAUGGCGAAGGCAGCCAUCUGGCCUAAUACUGACGCUGAGGUACGAAAGCAUGGGGAGCAAACAGGAUUAGAUACCCCCGUAGUCCCUGUCUCUUAUA